rnacentral:rRNA from 1 species
CCAAGAGUCCACAUCGACGGGGAGGUUUGGCACCUCGAUGUCGGCUCAUCACAUCCUGGGGCUGUAGUAGGUCCAAAGGGUUGGGCUGUUCGCCCAUUAAAGUGGUACGCGAGCUGGGUUCAGAACGGCGUGAGACAGUUCGGUCCCUAUCCGUCGCAGGCGUAGGAAAUUUGAGAAGACCUGUCCUUAGUACGAGAGGACC